rnacentral:lncRNA from 1 species
GGCCCGGCGGCGUCUGCUCUACCGCGGUGAGGUCUUUUUGAUGUCCUUCAAUAAAGUGUUACCAUUUUGUCCCCAGGGUCUUGGACCUCACUCUGAUAACCAUUGCUGCAUGUGUGCAGUGCGUAUUAAGCUCACAAGCAUCACGAUGAAGGGAAGAAGCCUGAGGAGUGUGGACAGCAUAGUUGCUACGAUGAAGUUCACCGGAAGCACAGCUGGUGGACGUCAGGAUGGAGGCUUACCCCUGGGAGUUUAGGAAGGAUGCAGUGCCUGCAGGGUCAGGAGGGCUGAUGUGGGUGCUGGUUCUGUGGGCAUGGGCCCUUUGGGACUGCCCCUUGAGCUGUGUGUUCAGGAUUUGUCAGCUCUUGUGCAUAAAUGUCAUAUUUCAAUAAAGAGUGUUACACGUAAAGAAAAUGUAGGGGC